AACGAACGCUGGCGGCAGGCCUAACACAUGCAAGUCGAACGUGAAGCCACCUUCGGGUGGCGGAAAGUGGCAGACGGGUGAGUAACGCGUGGGAACGUGCCUUUCGGUUCGGAAUAACCCAGGGAAACUUGGGCUAAUACCGGAUACGCCCUACGGGGGAAAGAUUCAUUGCCGAAAGAUCGGCCCGCGUCGGAUUAGCUAGUUGGUGGGGUAAUGGCCUACCAAGGCGACGAUCCGUAGCUGGUCUGAGAGGAUGAUCAGCCACACUGGGACUGAGACACGGCCCAGACUCCUACGGGAGGCAGCAGUGGGGAAUAUUGCACAAUGGGCGAAAGCCUGAUGCAGCCAUGCCGCGUGGGUGAAGAAGGCCCUAGGGUUGUAAACCCCUUUCGGCGGGGAAGAUAAUGACGGUACCCGCAGAAGAAGUCCCGGCUAACUCCGUGCCAGCAGCCGCAGUAA
rnacentral:rRNA from 1 species